rnacentral:lncRNA from 1 species
GCUGGAGGCGAUUCUCUUGCAUGAGCGAGGGGUGCAGCCUGGUUCCACCCGGCCCUGAGCUCACGGAAGGGCUGGCUGCCCGCAGGGAAGGAGCUCUGCUUGAGCUCUGCUCCUGGGUGGGCUUUUGUGUGCCCUGUUCCUCAGGAAGGGGUAAGCAGUGCUGGGGUUAUUUGCUAGAUGGAGUGCGUUUGUGUUUCUUGGCUUCCUGAAAGCUGUGUCUGUCUUUUUCACUGCCGGCUGGAGAGACUCGGGGGAGAAAGCGUUGUGCUUGAUGGCACGGUUUCCUUGGGCAAAGGAUGCUUUGGCAGCAGAGGUUUGCUGUCAGGAGGCAUGAAAGCACUGAAGCCAAUGCUGCCGUGCCCUGGGCCCAGAGACAUCAUCUCCCAGCACGUCCCUGGCGGUGGAUGUGUGCAAGCUCUGUGUCUGCCAGUGGUUGCUCCAAAGGCUUUGUGGUCAGCUGUGCGUGGCUGUUUUGCUCUUGAGGGCGUGGGAACAGAGGGCAACACGCUGAUGGGAGUGAUGGUGUCCUGCUCAGCAAUGGAUGUGCUGGGUGGCAGAAGAGGAUUCUUGGCCGAGCGUGGAAAAUCUCUCUGCUCCUUCCUGAAGGACGCAAUCUUCCACUUGGAAAGGGCCUCCAACGAUCCCUGGUAUCCUCUGAGAGCUCUGAGCUGCCACACCAAUUUGAAGCUGACUUCAUUUUUGGUCUUCCCCUUCAGCAGAAAAGCUCAGACAGCCGAGCCAAGCGAGACGCUGGAUUUCCUUUGGCAUCAAGGAAAGCAUCGUGAGAUGUUCUGAUGCCCUCUCACAAUUCUUUCUCCCUCCGCCAGCACCAGAGCUGGCGUCCAAAGACGCAAUGACACUGCCACAGGCAUUGUGGAGAUUUCUAUGGGAUAGGGCCAUGGUAAGGCUUUAUUGACAGAGGGAGGGACAAUGAAGAUUGGAUGUCAGGGAGAAGGUCUUUCCAGAGACGGUGGUGAGAUGCUGGAAGCGGAUGCCCAGAGAGCUUGUGGACGCCGCGUCCGUGGCAGUGUUGAAGGCCAGGUUGGAUUGGGCACUCGGCAGCCUAGUCUAGGAUUAGAUAUGAUGCAGAUGGGAUUCACGCAUCUGUUUUGCAGCCAGCUCGAGUGGAGCUCUUGGAGCUCAUGGGCGCCCCAUGCCCGCAUCAGCGUGGGUAGUGUGUGCCCUUCCUGCGCGAUGGGGCUUUGCUGUUUGGAGGCUGACGCUGAGGAGACUGUGUUUCUUCGUUUAUCGGUGGC